AAGUCGUAACAAGGUUUCCGUAGGUGAACCUGCGGAAGGAUCAUUAACACGAAUUAAUAUAUCCAUUUAUUCAAACCCACCGUGAACCUUUUCCCUCCCUACUCUCUUCUUAGAGAUUAGGCUACCCUUAACUUUUAAUUUUUACCCCAUUUACACUUUUUGCUUUGCUGUGGUUAUACUAUUGUCUUCAAUGGGAACACCUUACAGUGAAUCAACAACACACUAAAAAACCAUUAUCUUUGAAAGAAGAUUAUGUUUUUUUCUUAUUACGAAAUAAUAAUAAGUUUAUAAAACAACUCUUAGCAAUGGAUAUCUUGGUUCUC
rnacentral:misc_RNA from 1 species